UACGUAGGUGACAAGCGUUGUCCGGAUUUACUGGGCGUAAAGAGCGCGCAGGCGGUCGAUCAAGUCGAGUGUGAAAGCCCCCGGCUCAACUGGGGAGGGUCAUUCGAUACUGAUCGACUCGAAGGCAGGAGAGGGUAGUGGAAUUCCCGGUGUAGUGGUGAAAUGCGUAGAUAUCGGGAGGAACACCAGUGGCGAAGGCGGCACUCUGGGCCGGAACUGACGCUGAGGAGCGAAAGCGUGGGGAGCAAACAGG
rnacentral:rRNA from 1 species